AUGCUGGCUUUGCUUUUUCCCGUUAUAACUUCAGCAGAGCCAAAAGCCCGCAGAUGGUGAGCUGUGUUGUCUGAGCAUCAGGAGCGAUCAGAACUGCAGCUGUUUGAAAUAUCAGUCACACAGUCCUGGGCUCUGCACUGAAGGAUAUUCAGGAAGCACGCAACAAAGGACAGAGUAACAAGUACAUGGUGUACAUGCUGAUCCUAGGCAGGUGACACUGCUACAGCUUUACAGAGAAAUAGAUGAAGACCUGUAGAGAGAGUGGUGAGGCAGUUCACAACCAAGCCUCUAUGAUAACAAUGCCUGUAAGUAAAUAACCAUUCUGUAUAAUUUUACUCCUGCAUUUAUUCAAUAUGAGACUUCUCUAUGAGUAAUAGAACGUACUUGUAAGUGAAAAAAUAACCACUG
ensembl:lncRNA